UUCAACUUGAGAGUUUGAUCCUGGCUCAGAAUCAACGCUGGCGGCGUGCCUCAUCCAUGCAAGUCGAACGCGAACGCGUCCUUCGGGACGCAAGUAGAGUGGCAGACGGGUGAGUAACGCGUGGGUGACCUACCUUCGAGUGGGGGAUAACCUUCCGAAAGGAGGGCUAAUA
rnacentral:rRNA from 1 species